GCCUACGGGUGGCAGCAGUGAGGAAUAUUGGUCAAUGGACGAGAGUCUGAACCAGCCAAGUAGCGUGAAGGAUGACUGCCCUAUGGGUUGUAAACUUCUUUUCUAUGGGAAUAACAUGUUCCACGUGUGGGAUUUUGUCUGUACCAUAUGAAUAAGGAUCGGCUAACUCCGUGCCAGCAGCCGCGGUAAUACGGAGGAUCCGAGCGUUAUCCGGUUGUAUUGGGUUUAAAGGGAGCGUAGGUGGAUUGUUAAGUCAGUUGUGAAAGUUUGCGGCUCAACCGGAAAAUUGCAGUUGAAACUGGCAGUCUUGAGGACAGUAGAGGUGGGCGGAAUUCGUGGUGUAGCGGUGAAAUGCUUAGAUAUCACGAAGAACUCCGAUUGCGAAGGCAGUUCACUGGACUGAAACUGACACUGAGGCUCGAAAGUGUGGGUAUCAAACAGGAUUAAUACCCCGGUAGUC
rnacentral:rRNA from 1 species